GAUGAAGAACGUAGCGAAAUGCGAUAAGUAAUGUGAAUUGCAGAAUUCAGUGAAUCAUCGAAUCUUUGAACGCACAUUGCGCCCGCUAGUAUUCUGGCGGGCAUGCCUGUCCGAGCGUCAUUACAACCCUCAGGCCCCCGGGCCUGGCGUUGGGGAUCGGCGGAAGCCCCCUGUGGGCACACGCCGUCCCUCAAAUACAGUGGCGGUCCCGCCGCAGCUUCCAUUGCGUAGUAGCUAACACCUCGCAACUGGAGAGCGGCGCGGCCAUGCCGUAAAACACCCAACUUCUGAAUGUUGACCUCGAAUCAGGUAGGAAUACCCGCUGAACUUAAGCAUAUCAAUAAGCGGAGGA
rnacentral:misc_RNA from 1 species